rnacentral:rRNA from 1 species
GAGGCUCGAAAGCGUGAGGAGCAAACAGGAUUAGAUACCUGGUAGUCACGCGUAAACGAUGAGUGCUAAGUGUUAGGGGGUUCCGCCCUUUAGUGCUGCAGCUAACGCAUUAAGCACUCCGCUGGGGAGUACGACCGCAAGGUUGAAACUCAAAGGAAUUGACGGGGGCCCGCACAAGCGGUGGAGCAUGUGGUUUAAUUCGAAGCAACGCGAAGAACCUUACCAGGUCUUGACAUCCUUUGACAACUCUAGAGAUAGAGCUUUCCCUUCGGGGACAAAGUGACAGGUGGUGCAUGGUUGUCGUCAGCUCGUGUCGUGAGAUGUUGGGUUAAGUCCCGCAACGAGCGCAACCCUUAUUGUUAGUUGCCAUCAUUCAGUUGGGCACUCUAGCGAAACUGCCGGUGACAAACCGGAGGAAGGUGGGGAUGACGUCAAAUCAUCAUGCCCCUUAUGACCUGGGCUACACACGUGCUACAAUGGACAGUACAAUGAGCAGCGACACGGCGACGUGAAGCGAAUCUCAUAAAGCUGUUCUCAGUUCGGAUUGUAGGCUGCAACUCGCCUACAUGAAGCCGGAAUCGCUAGUAAUCGCGGAUCAGCACGCCGCGGUGAAUACGUUCCCGGGCCUUGUACACACCGCCCGUCACACCACGAAAGUUUGUAACACCCAAAGUCGGUGAGGUAACCUUCGGGAGCCAGCCGCCUAAGGUGGGAUAGAUGAUUGGGGUGAAGUCGUAACAAGGUAACCA